rnacentral:misc_RNA from 1 species
AACUGAUACUACCUGCGGGAACCUGCGGAAGGAUCAUUACUGAAGUGAUUUGGGGAUGUUGCUGGCCCUCUCUCAAGGGGGGGCACUGUGCACUCCUCGAAACAAUCCACAAUUUCCAUCACACCCCUUGUGCACACCUUGUAGGCACCCAAACCCACCUCCGGGUGGUGGGGUCCUAUGUAUUCCUUCAUCUCACACUCUGUUGAAUGGUGCCAUGGGACGCAUCUAAAGGAUUAUUUG